CAGUAGCCACGGGAAUACGGAGGAUCCAAGCGUUAUCCGGAAUCAUUGGGUUUAAAGGGUCCGUAGGCGGUCUUGUAAGUCAGUGGUGAAAGCCCAUCGCUCAACGGUGGAACGGCCAUUGAUACUGCAGGACUUGAAUUAUUGGGAAGUAACUAGAAUAUGUAGUGUAGCGGUGAAAUGCUUAGAGAUUACAUGGAAUACCAAUUGCGAAGGCAGGUUACUACCAAUUGAUUGACGCUGAUGGACGAAAGCGUGGGUAGCGAACAGGAUUAGAUACCCCCGUAGUCCCUGUCUCUUAUAU
rnacentral:rRNA from 1 species